AACCAGAAGUCCCUGCUGCAGCUCCAGGGUGAAGACCAGCACUUGCCAUCACAAGGAAGCAGAAGUCCCUGCUGCUGCUCCAGGGUGAAGAUCAGCAGGUGUCAUCACAAGAAAGCAGGAGUCCCUGCUGCAUCUCCAGCUUGAAGAAGACCAAUUGCCAUCACAAAUAACCAGUAUUCCCAGCUGCAGCUCCGGGGUGGAGAGAGUCCUUUUCCGUCACAAUAAAGCAGACGUCCAAGCUGCAGCUGCCAUUCGAAGAACACUAGCCAUCCCAAGUAACCAGAAAUCCCUGAUAUACUUCUCGGGUGGAGAGAGGCCUUUGCCACAAGAAAAAAGCAGAGGUCCCAGCUGCAGCUCCAGGGUGGAGAGAGGCCAUUGCCAUCACAACAAAGCAGAGGUCUGACAUGCAGUUCCAGUCUGAAGAACAACACGUGCAAUCCCAAGUAACCAGACCUCUCUGCUGCAGCUGUAGGGUGGAGAGAGGCCUUUGCCAUCACACCAAAGCAAAGGUCCCUGCUGCAGCUCUAGGGUGGAGAGAGACCUUUGCCAUCACAACCAGGUAGAGGUCCCUGCUGCAGCUCUAGGGUGGAGAGAGACCUUUGCCAUCACAACCAGGUAGAGGUCUCUGCUGCAGCUACUAUUCAAAGCACAACACUUAACACCCCAAGUAACCAUAAAUCCCUGGUGAAGUUCCGGGGUGGAGAAAGGCCAUUGCGAUCACAACCAAGCAGAGGUCCCAGCUGCAGCUCCAGGGUGGAGAGAGGCCUUUGCCAUCAUAACAAAGCAGAAGCCCCGGCUGCAGCUCCGGGUUCGACAGAGGCCUCUGUCAUCUUAAAGUAGACGUGCCUCUGUAGCUCCAGUUUGAAGACCAGCACUUGCCAUCACAAGUAACCAGUAGUCCCUACUGCAGCUCCAGGGUGAAGACCAGCACUUGCCAUCACAACGAAGAAGAAGUCCCUGCUGCAGCUGCAGGGUGAAGACCAGCACUUGCCAUCACAAGUAACCAGAAGUCCCUGCUGCUGCUCCAGGGUGAAGAUCAGCACUUGCCAUCACAACCAAGCAGAAGUCCCUGCUGCAGCUCCAAGGUGAAGAACAGCACUUGCCAUCAGAAGUAACCAGAAGUCCCUGCUGCAGCGCCAGGGUGAAGAGCAGCACUUGCCAUCACACGUACGGAGAAGUCCCUGCUGCAGCUCCAGGGUGAAGACCAGCAUUUGCAAUCACAAGUAACCAGAAGUCACUGCUGCAGCUCCAGGGUGAAGACCAGCACUUGCCAUCACAAAGAAUCAGAUGUCCCUGCUGCAGCUCCAGGGUGAAGACCAGCACUUGCCAUCACAAGUAACCAGAAGUCCCUGCUGCAGCUCCAGGGUGAAGACCAGCACUUGCUAUUACAAUGAAGCAGAAGUCCCUGCUGCAGCUCCAGGGUGAAGACCAGCACUUGCCAUCACAAGUAACCAGAAGUCACUGCUGCAGCUUCAGCGUGAAGAAGACCAAUUGCCAUCACAAAUAACCAGUAUUCCCAGCUGCAGCUCCGGGGUGGAGAGAAUCCUUUUCCGUCACAAUAAAGCAGACGUCCAAGCUGCAGCUGCCAUUCGAAGAACACUAGCCAUCCCAAGUAACCAGAAAUCCCUGAUAUACUUCUCGGGUGGAGAGAGGCCUUUGCCACAAGAAAAAAGCAGAGGUCCCAGCUGCAGCUCCAGGGUGGAGAGAGGCCAUUGCCAUCACAACAAAGCAGAGGUCUGACAUGCAGUUCCAGUCUGAAGAACAACACGUGCAAUCCCAAGUAACCAGACCUCUCUGCUGCAGCUGUAGGGUGGAGAGAGGCCUUUGCCAUCACACCAAAGCAAAGGUCCCUGCUGCAGCUCUAGGGUGGAGAGAGACCUUUGCCAUCACAACCAGGUAGAGGUCUCUGCUGCAGCUACUAUUCAAAGCACAACACUUAACACCCCAAGUAACCAUAAAUCCCUGGUGAAGCUCAGGGGUGGAGAAAGGCCUUUGCGAUCACAACCAAGCAGAGGUCCCAGCUGCAGCUCCAGGGUGGAGAGAGGCCUUUGCCAUCAUAACAAAGCAGAAGCCCCGGCUGCAGCUCCGGGUUCGACAGAGGCCUCUGUCAUCUUAAAGUAGACGUGCCUCUGUAGCUCCAGUUUGAAGACCAGCACUUGCCAUCACAAGUAACCAGUAGUCCCUACUGCAGCUCCAGGGUGAAGACCAGCACUUGCCAUCACAACGAAGAAGAAGUCCCUGCUGCAGCUGCAGGGUGAAGACCAGCACUUGCCAUCACAAGUAACCAGAAGUCCCUGCUGCAGCUCCAGGGUGAAGACCAGCAUUUGCUAUCACAAGUAAUCAGAAGUCCCUGCUGCUGCUCCAGGGUGAAGAUCAGCACUUGCCAUCACAACCAAGCAGAAGUCCCUGCUGCAGCUCCAAGGUGAAGAACAGCACUUGCCAUCAGAAGUAACCAGAAGUCCCUGCUGCAGCGCCAGGGUGAAGAACAGCACUUGCCAUCAGAAGUAACCAGAAGUCCCUGCUGCAGCGCCAGGGUGAAGACCAGCACUUGCCAUCACACGUACGGAGAAGUCCCUACUGCAGCUCCAGGGUGAAGACCAGCACUUGCCAUCACAAGUAAUCAGAAGUCCCUGCUGCUGCUCUAGGGUGAAGAUCAGCAGGUGUCAUCACACGAAAGCAGAAGUCCCUGCUGCAUCUCCAGCUUGAAGAAGACCAAUGGCCAUCACAAAUAACCAGUAUUCCCAGCUGCAGCUCCGGGGUGGAGAGAGUCCUUUUCCGUCACAAUAAAGCAGACGUCCAAGCUGCAGCUGCCAUUCGAAGAACACUAGCCAUCCCAAGUAACCAGAAAUCCCUGAUAUACUUCUCGGGUGGAGAGAGGCCUUUGCCACAAGAAAAAAGCAGAGGUCCCAGCUGCAGCUCCAGGGUGGAGAGAGGCCUUUGCCAUCAUAACAAAGCAGAAGCCCCGGCUGCAGCUCCGGGUUCGACAGAGGCCUCUGUCAUCUUAAAGUAGACGUGCCUCUGUAGCUCCAGUUUGAAGACCAGCACUUGCCAUCACAAGUAACCAGUAGUCCCUACUGCAGCUCCAGGGUGAAGACCAGCACUUGCCAUCACAACGAAGAAGAAGUCCCUGCUGCAGCUGCAGGGUGAAGACCAGCACUUGCCAUCACAAGUAACCAGAAGUCCCUGCUGCAGCUCCAGGGUGAAGACCAGCAUUUGCUAUCACAAGUAAUCAGAAGUCCCUGCUGCUGCUCCAGGGUGAAGAUCAGCACUUGCCAUCACAACCAAGCAGAAGUCCCUGCUGCAGCUCCAAGGUGAAGAACAGCACUUGCCAUCAGAAGUAACCAGAAGUCCCUGCUGCAGCGCCAGGGUGAAGAGCAGCACUUGCCAUCACACGUACGGAGAAGUCCCUGCUGCAGCUCCAGGGUGAAGACCAGCAUUUGCAAUCACAAGUAACCAGAAGUCACUGCUGCAGCUCCAGGGUGAAGACCAGCACUUGCCAUCACAAAGAAUCAGAUGUCCCUGCUGCAGCUCCAGGGUGAAGACCAGCACUUGCCAUCACAAGUAACCAGAAGUCCCUGCUGCAGCUCCAGGGUGAAGACCAGCACUUGCUAUUACAAUGAAGCAGAAGUCCCUGCUGCAGCUCCAGGGUGAAGACCAGCACUUGCCAUCACAAGUAACCAGAAGUCACUGCUGCAGCUUCAGCGUGAAGAAGACCAAUUGCCAUCACAAAUAACCAGUAUUCCCAGCUGCAGCUCCGGGGUGGAGAGAGUCCUUUUCCAUCACAAUAAAGCAGAGGUCCCAGCUGCAGCUGCCAUUCGAAGAACAACACUAGCCAUCCCAAGUAACCAGAAAUCCCUGAUAUACUUCUCGGGUGGAGAGAGGCCUUUGCCACAAGAAAAAAGCAGAGGUCCCAGCUGCAGCUCCAGGGUGGAGAGAGGCCAUUGCCAUCACAACAAAGCAGAGGUCUGACAUGCAGUUCCAGUCUGAAGAACAACACGUGCAAUCCCAAGUAACCAGACCUCUCUGCUGCAGCUGUAGGGUGGAGAGAGGCCUUUGCCAUCACAACUAGGCAGAGGUCUCUGCUGCAGCUACCAUUCAAAGCACAACACUUAACACCCCAAGUAACCAUAAAUCCCUGGUGAAGCUCAGGGGUGGAGAAAGGCCUUUGCGAUCACAACCAAGCAGAGGUCCCAGCUGCAGCGCCAGGGUGGAGAGAGGCCUUUGCCAUCAUAACAAAGCAGAAGCCCCGGCUGCAGCUCCGGGUUGGAGAGAGGCCUUUGUCACCUUAAAGUAGAGGUCCCUCUGAAGCUCCAGUUUGAAGAACAACACUUGCCAUCACAAGUAACCAGAAGUCCCUACUGCAGCUCCAGGGUGAAGACCACCACUUGCCAUCACAAAGAGGCAGAAGUCCCUGCUGCAGCUCCAGGGUGAAGAACAGUACUUGCCAUCACAACGAAGCAGAAGUCCCUGCUGCAGCUCCAGGGUGAAGACCAGCACUUGCCAUCACAAGUAACCAGAAGUCCCUGCUGCUGCUCCAGGGUGAAGAUCAGCAGGUGUCAUCACAAGAAAGCAGAAGUCCCUGUUGCAGCUCCAGCGUGAAGAAGACCAAUUGCCAUCACAAAUAACCAGUAUUCCCAGCUGCAGCUCCGGGGUGGAGAGAGUCCUUUUCCAUCACAAUAAAGCAGAGGUCCCAGCUGCAGCUGCCAUUCGAAGAACAACACUAGCCCUCCCAAGUAACCAGAAAUCCCUGAUAUACUUCUCGGGUGGAGAGAGGCCUUUGCCACAAGAAAAAAGCAGAGGUCCCAGCUGCAGCUCCAGGGUGGAGAGAGGCCAUUGCCAUCACAACAAAGCAGAGGUCCCUGCUGCAGCUCUAGGGUGGAGAGAGACCUUUGCUACCACAACCAGGCAGAGGUCUCUGCUGCAGCUACCAUUCAAAGCACAACACUUAACACCCCAAGUAACCAUAAAUCCCUGGUGAAGCUCCGGGGUGGAGAAAGGCCUUUGCGAUCACAACCAAGCAGAGGUCCCAGCUGCAGCUCCAGGGUGGAGAGAGGCCUUUGCCAUCAUAACAAAGCAGAGGUCUCGGCUAGAGCUCCGGGUUGGAGAGAGGCCUUGGUCAUCUUAAAGUAGAUGUGCCGCUGUAGCUCCAGUUUGAAGACCAGCACUUGCCAUCACAAGUAACCAGAAGUCCCUGCUGCAGCUCCAGGGUGAAGACCAGCACUUUCCAUCACAAAGAAUCAGAAGUCCCUGCUGCAGCUCCAGGGUGAAGACCAGCACUUGCCAUCACAAGUAACCAGAAGUCCCUGCUGCAGCUCCAGGGUGAAGACCAGCACUUGCCAUCACAAAGAAUCAGAUGUCCCUGCUGCAGCUCCAGGGUGAAGACCAGCACUUGCCAUCACAAGUAACCAGAAGUCCCUGCUGCAGCUCCAGGGUGAAGACCACCACUUGCCAUCACAACGAAGCAGAAGUCCCUGCUGCAGCUCCAGGGUGAAGACCAGCACUUGCCAUCACAACCAAGCAGAAGUCCCUGCUGCUGCUCCAGGGUGAAGAUCAGCAGGUGCCAUCACAAAAAAGUAGAAGUCCCUGCUGCAGCUGCAGCGUGAAGAAGACAAAUUGCCAUCACAAAUAACCAGUAUUCCCAGCUGCAGCUCCGGGGUGGAGAGAGUCCUUUGCCAUCACAAUAAAGCAGAGGUCCCAGCUGCAGCUGCCAUUCGAAGAACAACACUAGCCCUCCCAAGUAACCAGAAAUCCCUGAUAUACUUCUCGGGUGGAGAGAGGCCUUUGCCACAAGAAAAAAGCAGAGGUCCCAGCUGCAGCUCCAGGGUGGAGAGAGGCCAUUGCCAUCACAACAAAGCAGAGGUCUGACAUGCAGUUCCAGUCUGAAGAACAACACGUGCAAUCCCAAGUAACCAGACCUCUCUCCUGCAGCUGUAGGGUGGAGAGAGGCCUUUGCCAUCACACCAAAGCAAAGGUCCCUGCUGCAGCUCUAGGGUGGAGAGAGACCUUUGCCACCACAACCAGACAGAGGUCUCUGCUGCAGCUACCAUUCAAAGCACAACACUUAACACCCCAAGUAACCAUAAAUCCCUGGUGAAGCUCCAGGGUGGAGAAAGGCCUUUGCGAUCACAACCAAGCAGAGGUCCCAGCUGCAGCUCCAAGGUGGAGAGAGGCCUUUGCCAUCAUAACGAAGCAGAAGCCCCGGCUGCAGCUCCGGGUUCGAGAGAGGCCUUUGUCAUCUUAAAGUAGACGUGCCUCUGCAGCUCCAGGGUGAAGACCAGCACUUGCCAUCACAAGUAAUCAGAAGUCCCUGCUGCAGCUCCAGGGUGAAGACCAGCACUUGCCAUCACAACCAAGCAGAAGUCCCGGCUGCAGCUCCAGGGUGAAGACCAGCACUUGCCAUCACUAGUAACCAGAAGUCCCUGCUGCAGCUCCAGGGUGAAGACCAGCACUUGCCAUCACAAGGAAGCAGAAGUCCCUGCUGCAGCUCCAGGGUGAAGACCAGCACUUGCCAUCACAAGUAACCAGAAGUCCCUGCUGCUGCUCCAGGGUGAAGACCAGCACUUGCUAUCACAAGGAAGCAGAAGUCCCUGCUGCUGCUCCAGGGUGAAGAUCAGCAGGUGCCAUCACAAAAAAGCAGAAGUCCCUGCUGCAGCUCCAGCGUGAAGAAGACAAAUUGCCAUCACAAAUAACCAGUAAACCCAGCUGCAGCUCUGGGGUGGAGAGAGUUCUUUGCCAUCACAAUAAAGUAGAGGUCCCAGCUGUAGCUGCCUUUCAAAGAACAACACUAGCCAUCCCAAGUAACCAGAAAUCCCUGAUAUACUUCUCGGGUGGAGAGAGGCCUUUGCCACAAGAAAAAAGCAGAGGUCCCAGCUGCAGCUCCAGGGUGGAGAGAGGCCUUUGCCAUCAUAACAAAGCAGAAGCCCCGGCUGCAGCUCCGGGUUCGAGAGAGGCCUUUGUCAUCUUAAAGUAGACGUGCCUCUGUAGCUCCAGUUUGAAGACCAGCACUUGCCACCACAAGUAACCAGAAGUCCCUGCUGCAGCUCCAGGGUGAAGACCAGCACUUGCCAUCACAAGUAAUCAGAAGUCCCUGCUGCAGCUCCAGGGUGAAGACCAGCACUUGCCAUCACAAGUAACCAGAAGUCCCUGCUGCUGCUCCAGGGUGAAGACCAGCACUUGCCAUCCCAACCAAGCAGAAGUCCCUGCUGCAGCUCCAGGGUGAAGACCAGCACUUGCCAUCACAAGUAAUCAGAAGUCCCUGCUGCAGCUCCAGGGUGAAGACCAGCACUUGCCAUCACAAGUAACCAGAAGUCCCUGCUGCAGCUCCAGGGUGAAGACCAGCACUUGCAAUCACAAGUAACCAUAAGUCCCUGCUGUAGCUACACGGUGAACACCAGCACUUGCUAUCACAACGAAGCAGAAGUCCCUGCUGCAGCUCCAGGGUGAAGACCAGCACUUGCUAUCCAAGUAACCAGAAGUCCUUGCUGCAGCUCCAGGGUGAAGACCAGCACUUGCCAACACAAGGAAGCAGAAGUCCCUGCUGCAGCUCCAGGGUGAAGACCAGCACUUGCCAUCACAAGGAUGCAGAAGUCCCUGCUGCAGCUCCAGGGUGAAGACCAGCACUUGCCAUCACAAGUAAUCAGAAGUCCCUGCUGCUGCUCCAGGGUGAAGAUCAGCAGGUGUCAUCACAAGAAAGCAGAAGUCCCUGCUGCAGCUCCAGCAUGAAGAAGACCAAUUGCCAUCACAAAUAACCAGUAUUCCCAGCUGCAGCUCCGGGGUGGAGAGAGUCCUUUUCCAUCACAAUAAAGCAGAGGUCCCAGCUGCAGCUGCCAUUCGAAGAACAACACUAGCCAUCCCAAGUAACCAGAAAUCCCUGAUAUACUUCUCGGGUGGAGAGAGGCCUUUGCCACAAGAAAAAAGCAGAGGUCCCUGCUGCAGCUCUAGGGUGGAGAGAGACCUUUGCUACCACAACCAGGCAGAGGUCUCUGCUGCAGCUACCAUUCAAAGCACAACACUUAACACCCCAAGUAACCAUAAAUCCCUGGUGAAGCUCAGGGGUGGAGAAAGGCCUUUGCGAUCACAACCAAGCAGAGGUCCCAGCUGCAGCUCCAGGGUGGAGAGAGGCCUUUGCCAUCAUAACAAAGCAGAGGUCUCGGCUAGAGCUCCGGGUUGGAGAGAGGCCUUGGUCUUCUUAAAGUAGAUGUGCCGCUGUAGCUCCAGUUUGAAGACCAGCACUUGCCAUCACAAGUAAGCAGAAGUCCCUGCUGCAGCUCCAGGGUGAAGACCAGCACUUGCCAUCACAAUGAAUCAGAAGUCCCUGCUGCAGCUCCAGGGUGAAGACCAGCACUUGCCAUCACAAGUAACCAGAAGUCCCUGCUGCAGCUCCAGAGUGAAGACCAGCACUUGCCAUCACUAGUAACCAGAAGUCCCUGCUGCAGCUCCAGGGUGAAGACCAGCACUUGCCAUCACAAGGAAGCAGAAGUCCCUGCUGCAGCUCCAGGGUGAAGACCAGCACUUGCCAUCACAAGGAAGCAGAAGUCCCUGCUGCUGCUCCAGGGUGAAGACCAGCACUUGCUAUCACAAGGAAGCAGAAGUCCCUGCUGCUGCUCCAGGGUGAAGAUCAGCAGGUGCCAUCACAAAAAAGCAGAAGUCCCUGCUGCAGCUCCAGCGUGAAGAAGACAAAUUGCCAUCACAAAUAACCAGUAAACCCAGCUGCAGCUCUGGGGUGGAGAGAGUUCUUUGCCAUCACAAUAAAGUAGAGGUCCCAGCUGUAGCUGCCUUUCAAAGAACAACACUAGCCAUCCCAAGUAACCAGAAAUCCCUGAUAUACUUCUCGGGUGGAGAGAGGCCUUUGCCACAAGAAAAAAGCAGAGGUCCCAGCUGCAGCUCCAGGGUGGAGAGAGGCCAUUGCCAUCACAACAAAGCAGAGGUCUGACAUGCAGUUCCAGUCUGAAGAACAACACGUGCAAUCCCAAGUAACCAGACCUCUCUCCUGCAGCUGUAGGGUGGAGAGAGGCCUUUGCCAUCACACCAAAGCAAAGGUCCCUGCUGCAGCUCUAGGGUGGAGAGAGACCUUUGCCACCACAACCAGACAGAGGUCUCUGCUGCAGCUACCAUUCAAAGCACAACAGUUAACACCCCAAGUAACCAUAAAUCCCUGGUGAAGCUCCAGGGUGGAGAAAGGCCUUUGCGAUCACAACCAAGCAGAGGUCCCAGCUGCAGCUCCAAGGUGGAGAGAGGCCUUUGCCAUCAUAACGAAGCAGAAGCCCCGGCUGCAGCUCCGGGUUCGAGAGAGGCCUUUGUCAUCUUAAAGUAGACGUGCCUCUGUAGCUCCAGUUUGAAGACCAGCACUUGCCACCACAAGUAACCAGAAGUCCCUGCUGCAGCUCCAGGGUGAAGACCAGCACUUGCCAUCACAAGUAAUCAGAAGUCCCUUCUGCUGCUCCAGGGUGAAGACCAGCACUUGCCAUCCCAACCAAGCAGAAGUCCCUGCUGCAGCUCCAGGGUGAAGACCAGCACUUGCCAUCACAAGUAAUCAGAAGUCCCUGCUGCAGCUCCAGGGUGAAGACCAGCACUUGCCAUCACAAGUAACCAGAAGUCCCUGCUGCAGCUCCAGGGUGAAGACCAGCACUUGCAAUCACAAGUAACCAUAAGUCCCUGCUGUAGCUACACGGUGAACACCAGCACUUGCUAUCACAACGAAGCAGAAGUCCCUGCUGCAGCUCCAGGGUGAAGACCAGCACUUGCUAUCCAAGUAACCAGAAGUCCUUGCUGCAGCUCCAGGGUGAAGACCAGCACUUGCCAACACAAGGAAGCAGAAGUCCCUGCUGCAGCUCCAGGGUGAAGACCAGCACUUGCCAUCACAAGGAUGCAGAAGUCCCUGCUGCAGCUCCAGGGUGAAGACCAGCACUUGCCAUCACAAGUAAUCAGAAGUCCCUGCUGCUGCUCCAGGGUGAAGAUCAGCAGGUGUCAUCACAAGAAAGCAGAAGUCCCUGCUGCAGCUCCAGCAUGAAGAAGACCAAUUGCCAUCACAAAUAACCAGUAUUCCCAGCUGCAGCUCCGGGGUGGAGAGAGUCCUUUUCCAUCACAAUAAAGCAGAGGUCCCAGCUGCAGCUGCCAUUCGAAGAACAACACUAGCCAUCCCAAGUAACCAGAAAUCCCUGAUAUACUUCUCGGGUGGAGAGAGGCCUUUGCCACAAGAAAAAAGCAGAGGUCCCUGCUGCAGCUCUAGGGUGGAGAGAGACCUUUGCUACCACAACCAGGCAGAGGUCUCUGCUGCAGCUACCAUUCAAAGCACAACACUUAACACCCCAAGUAACCAUAAAUCCCUGGUGAAGCUCAGGGGUGGAGAAAGGCCUUUGCGAUCACAACCAAGCAGAGGUCCCAGCUGCAGCUCCGGGUUCGAGAGAGGCCUUUGUCAUCUUAAAGUAGACGUGCCUCUGUAGCUGCAGUUUGAAGACCAGCACUUGCCAUCACAAGUAAUCAGAAGUCCCUGCUGCUGCUCCAGGGUGAAGACCAGCACUUGCCAUCACAAGUAACCAGAAGUCCCUGCGGCAGCUACAGGGUGAAGACCAGGACUUGAUCUCACAAGUAACCAGUAGUCCCAGCAGCAGCUCUUGGGUGGAGAGAGACCUUUCCUAUCACAACCAGGUUGAGGUCCCAGCUGCAGCUGCCAUUCGAAGGACAACACUAGCCAUCCCAAGUAACCACAAGUCCCUGCUAUAGUUGUCCGGUGGAGAGAGGCCUUUGCCAUCACAACAAAGUAAAGGUCCCUGCUGGAGUUCUAGGGUGGAGAGAGACCUUUGCCAUCACAAUCAGGCUGAGGUCUCUGCUGCAGCUGCCAUUCAAUGCACAACACUUGAUAUCCCAAGUAACCACAAGUCCCUGGUGACCCUCCGGGGUGGAGAAAGUCCUUUGUGAUCGCAACCAAGCAGAGGUCCCAGCUGCAGCUCCAGGGUGGAGAGAGGCCUAGGCCAUCAUAACAAAGCAGAAGCCCCGGCUGCAGCUCCGGGUUCGAGAGAGGCCUUUGUCAUCUUAAAGUAGAUGUUCCUCUGUAGCUCCAGUUUGAAGACCAGCACUUGCCAUCACAAAGAAUCAGAAGUCCCUGCUGCAGCUCCAGGGUGAAGACCAGCACUUGCCAUCACAACGUAGCAGAAGUCCCUGCUGCAGCUCCAGGGUGAAGACCAGCACUUGCCAUCACAAAUAACCAGAAGUCCCUGCUGCUGCUCCAGGGUGAAGACCAGCUCUUGCCAUCACAUGGAAGCAGAAGUCCCUGCUGCUCCUCCAGGGUGACUAUCAGCAGUUGCCAUCACAACAAAGCAGAAGUCCCUGCUGUAGCUCCAGGGUGAAGACCAGCACUUGCCAUCACAAGUAACCAGAAGUCCCUGCUGCAGCUCCAGGGUGAAGACCAGCACUUGCCAUCACAAGUAAUAAGAAGUCCCUGUUGCUGCUCCAGGGUGAAGAUCAGCAGUUGCCAUCACAACAAAGUAGAAGUCCCUGCUGUAGCUCCAGGGUGAAGACCAGCACUUGCCAUCACAAGUAACCAGAAAUCCCUGCUGCUGCUCCAGGGCGGAGAGAGGCCUUUGCCAUCACAAAAAGCAGAGGUCCCAGCUGCAGGUCCAGGGUGGAGAGAGGCCUUUUUCAUCUUAAAGUAGAGGUCCCACUGUAGCUCCAGUUGGAAGAACAACACUUGCCAUUACAAGUAACCAGCAGUCCCAGCUGCAGCUCCAGGGUGGAGAGACGCCUUUGCCAUCACAACAAGGCAGAGGUCCAUCCUGCAGCUCUAGAGUGGAGAGAGUCCUUUGCCAUCAUAACAAAGCAGAGGUCUAAGCCGCAGCUCCGGGUUGGAGAGAGGCCUUUGCCAUCACAACCAAGCAGAGGUCUCAGCUGGAUCUCCAGUUUAAGAAGGACACUUGCCAUCAUAAGUAAGCAGAUAUCCCCGCUGCAGUUCCGCGGUGGAGAGAGGCCUUUGUCAUUACACCAAAGCAGAUUCCCAAGUGCAGCUCCAGUUUGAAGAAGUACACUUGCUAUCACAAGUAACCAGAAGUCCCUCCUGCUGCUCCAGUUUGAAGAAGAGCCUUGCCAUCAACAGGAAGCAGAAAUCCCUGCUGCGGCUCCACAGUGAAGAACAUCAUUUCCCAUCUGAAGUUCCCAGAAGUCCCUCCUACUGUUCAUGCCCUUCAAUCUUUUAAUGUGGAUGCUGCUGUAACCAGAAGUCCCUGCUGCUGAUCCAGGGUGAAGAUGAGCACUUGCCAUCAUCACAAGUAACCAGAAGUCCCAGCUGCAGCUCUGGGGUGGAGAGAGGCCUUUGCCAUCAUAACAAAGCAGAGGUCCCAAGUGCAGCUCCAGUUUGAAGACCAAUACUUGCCUUCAUAAGGAUCUAGAAGUCCCUCCUGCUACUCCAGGGUGAAGAACAUCACUUGCAAUCACAAGUAACCAGAAAUCCCUGCUGCAGCUCCAGGGUGAAGAAGAUCACUUGCCAUCACACGUAACCAGAAGUCCCUGCUGCAGCUCCGGAGUGGAGAGAGGCCUUUGCCAUCAAAACAAAGCAGAGGUCCUAGCUACAGCUCCAGUUUGUAAAAGAACACUUGUCAUCACAAGUAUCCAAAAGUCCCUUUUGCUGCUCCAGGGUGAAGAACGUCACUUGCCACUUGCCAUCACAAAUAACCAGAAGUCCCUGCUGCUGCUCCAGGGAUGAAGACCAGCAUUUGCCAUCACAAGAAAACAGAAGUCCCUGCUGCAGCUCCAGGGUGAAGAAGAUCACUUGCCAUCAUAUGUCACCAGAAGUCUCUGCUGCGGCUCCAGGGUGAAGAACGUCACUUGCCAUCACAAAUAACCAGAAGUCCCUGCUCCUGCUCCAUGGUGAAGUCCAGCACUUGCUAUCACAAGGAACCAGAAGUCCCUGCUGCAGCUCCAGGGUGAAGAAAAUCACUUGUCAUUAUGAGUAACCAGAAGUCCCUGCUGCAGCUCCAGGGUGAAGAAGAUUACUUGCCAUCAUAUGUCACCAGAAGUCUCUGCUGCAGCUCCAGGGUGAAGAACGUCACUUGCCAUCACAAAUAACCAGAAGUCCCUGCUGCUGCUCCAGGGUGAAGUCCAGCACUUGCUAUCACAAGGAACCAGAAGUCCCUGCUGCAGCUCCAGGGUGAAGAAAAUCACUUGUCAUUAUGAGUAACCAGAAGUCCCUGCUGCAGCUCCAGGGUGAAGAAGAUCACUUGCCAUCAUAUGUCACUAGAAGUCUCUGCUGCUGCUCCAGGGUGAAGAAGAUCACUUGCCAUCACAAGUAACCAGAAGUCCCAGCUGCAGCUCCAGGGUGUAGAGAAGCCUUUGCCAUCACCACCAAGCAGAGUUCUCAGCUGCAGCUCCAGCGUGACGAAAAGAAGUUGCCAUCACAAGUAACCAGAAGUCCCUGCUGCUGCUCUAGCGUGAAGAAGAGCACUUGCCAUCCCAAAAAAGCUGAUGUCCCAGCUGCAGCUCCAGGUUGAAGAAGAGCACGUGCAAUCACAAGAAAGCAAAAAUCCCAGGUGUACCUCCAGGGUGGGUAGAGGCUUUUUCCAUCCCAAAUAAAGCACAGGUCCCAGCUGAAGCUCCGUGCAAGAAGAGAGUACUUCCCAUCACAAGGAUACUGAAGUCCCACCUGUAGCUCCAGAGUACACAGUCCUUUGCCAUCACAAAAAAGCAGAUGUCCCUGCUGGAGUUUUGGGAUGGAGAGAGUCCUUUGCCAUCACCCAUAAAGUAGAGGUCCCAGGUGCAGUUUUAUUGUGGAGAAGAGUUCUUGCCAUCACAGGGAAGUGGAAGUCCCAGUCCAGGGUAAAAGGAGACUGCAAGAGCCCUAGUUUGUUAUAACAUUUUCAGUAUCAAAGAGGAGCACUAACAUUUGCCAUUGCAAGGGAGCAGGAGAUUUUCCUGAUUUAGGACUAGAAUGUAGACCAGGAGAACAGUGAUCACCCCUUUACUUACAUCACACUACCUUUGAAGAAUUGAAAGCUUACAAACCCCUUCAAAAUAGCAGGAUGGAAAAGUCUAAAGCCUGAGGCUCUGUUACCUCCAUUCUGAACCCAAGUUUAGUAUAAAGUCAUAAAUCAAGAAAUAGACUAGAGAAACAAGCAAACAACCAAAAAAGAACCUGAGCAUAAAAAACUUAGAUGGUGGCAAUGAAAAUCCAGUCACAACUCAAAAGAAAAAAAUGAUGUGAAGAGCUAAAGAAAGAGAUGAAAAUGAACGGGGAAAUGAUUUCAAAAAUCAAAUAAGAGCAACCAAAAGAAAAUUGGGAAAAGAAAUGAGAAGAAUGCAAGAGACUUAUGAAAAGAGAAUUAAUAGCUUGGUAAAAAGAGGUACAAAAUAAAUAUUGCAGAAAAUAACUCCUUAAAAAGUAGCAGUGGCCAAAUGUAAAAAGAGAUAUUAAAGUUUAUUGUAGAAAAAAUUCCUUCUAUAUUAGAAUUGGUUCACGUGGAAGCUAAGAGUCACAUGAGCUCUCAAGGAAUGGUGCAACAAAGUCAAAAGUAUAAAAAUUAGCAGAAAAUGUGAACUCUCAUCAGAAAACCAAAUUACCUCAAAAAAGACUGAUGAGAGAGAAUCCAAUGAUUAUUGAAUUAUUUGAAAUCCAUAAACAAAGAGAUAAUACAGACAUCAUAUUUCAAGAAUUUAUGAAGGAAAAGUGCUCAUAUAUUUUAGAAAUAAAUGGCCAAAUAGAAAAUGAAAGUUUCCACCAAUCACCACCUAAAAAGAGAUACCAAAAUCACAACUCCCUGGCAUAUUAUAGUUAAAUUUAAGCACUCCAAGAUCCAGGACAAAAAAGUAGAAGGGGCCAGAAAUAAAUUAUUCAUGUACCAUAGAGCCACAGUUAAGAUUGCACCAAGAUUUAACUGUACCAUUAUAAAAAAUCAGAGGACUUAGAAUCUGAUAUUUCUGAAGGCAAAGGAGUAGGGAUUAUAACCAAGAUGAGGCAGAGCCAUGAUCGUAGAGAAAAGACAGUGACUUCCAUGAAUCCUCCCGUAAAACUCUUCCAAAUACCUUUAAAUAAUGCCAUGAAAUGAUUCUUAGAGCAGAAGAAUCCACAAUGGUCUGUGUAAAAUAAUUUUCCAGCCAAACCUAAGUUAGAAGGUUGCAGGAAAGGUCUAUUAUCACAUUUGGGUGAGAGUGGAGGGAAUCCAGCACAGGCUGCACCAGCAGAGAUUGCACCAGCACAGACCCAGCCCCAGCAAACCAGGAACAAGCUUUGGGAGACACUUAGUCAGCCAGUAGGAACAGCUGCUUCCUGAGCCACAGAUGAUAAACGAGUGAAACAAUUGAUCAGUAGAUUACAUAGAUCUCUGCUUUCACUGAGGCAGGAUUCUAUUGCUUUGCCCAUACUGAGAUCUGGGUCGCAGUCCCUGAUGGCAAGGCAGUCCUAGGGCUAGUUCAAACACUUGCAUACCAGAGCUUGCAGUCCCAGUGGAGUGGUGCCCCUUGUCACAAUUCCAGGGCGGAAAAGAGGACUUGUAGUCACUCAGACCAAAGCACAGGCCAGAGGAGCAGUUAAGAGAGUUCUCUUUAGAUCAUGCCACUUUAGAAGAACUGAAAACAUCAAGUCCUUAGAAAUGUCUCUGAAAACAGCUGCACAAAUGCCCUGAAGGUUGGGACAAUGCAUUCUCUACCCUGGAAGCAGAGCCCUACAUUAACAAAGAGUUAAAAGUCAAGAAAUAGACUGGGAAAAUGAGCAAAUAAUAGGAAAAAAAUCUGACCAAAGCAAGUUCCUACCAAGACAAAAAAAAUCAAAACACACACUCUGAAGAUAACAAAGGCAAAGCUCCUACACCCAAAGCUUCCAAGAAAAAUAUGAAUUGGCUCAGGCCAUGAAAGAAUUCAAAAAAGAUUUUGUAAUUCAAAUAAAGAGAGAAAGUGGAAAAAAUGAGAAGAGAAAUGAGAGUGAUGCAAGAAAAUCAUGAAAAACAAGUCAACGGUUUGGCAAAGGCAACCCCAAAAUAUUGAAGAAAAUACCACCUUAAAAAACAAACUAGACCAGAUAGUAAAAGAGAUAGAAAAGGUCAACGAGAAGACUGUCUUUAGAAAGCACAUGUGGUCAAAUGGAAAAAGAGGCACACAAAAUCCACUGGAAAAAAGCCUCCUUAAAAAGUAAAAUUGGCAAAAGAGGAUUAUGUCAAAAAAAUAACCUACUCAACAAAACUGAGUAUAAUUAUUUUCCAGGGGAAAAUGAAUUUUUAAUGAAAUAAGAGACUUUCUAGCAUUUACAAAAGGCCAGAGCUGACUAGAUCAUCUGACAUUCAAUCACAGGACUCAAGAGAAGCAUCAAAAGUGAUAUUCAUCGGGUAAACAUGGAAAGAAACUGCUGUCCAAAUCGAUGGUUUGAACCUGCUGUAUCCAAGUUUUUUUCUAUGGAUCUCAACAUCGCCUUUGGAGUUCACUUUGAACUGCUUUUGAUUCAAUUCAUACAGACACCAAUUGUCAUUUUCACAUGUGAAAGUAACAUGAUUCCUCCCUCCUAAAGGUGGAAAGUUUUAAGCGCCUCUUAGUAUAGUUAGCCUGUCUCCCCGAUUGCUGCCAUGACCCAUUGGACACUUGUUAGUAACAGCUUUGACACACAGAACUAGAAACCACUAAGCUCAGGAGGGGAGCUCAAAUGAGAACAGCUGUUAGGAGGCUAGGCGUGGAAGGUUACUCCUGGCAGCUGAAGUGAGUCUUGGUUAUUGUUGACUGUGUAAUACUAGAAUUCAAUGGGAUUCCUCCCCUCAGCCAGGCCUUCCCUUUUCACUGGUUUUUAAAGUGGAGACAGAUUUUCAGGACAGCUGUAGUCCAAGGGAACAAAGUUCCUCCAAACUUUUAAAUGUGGAGGUGCUCUCUCGUUGUGUGCCAUUUAGAAUCAGCUCCUGGAAGUCUGAAAUACAAGGCUAGAGCUUCGCUGGAACUUGAGAAUAUCAACUGGUCACUAAGCAGGCGAUUCAGACUCUAAAGCAGCUGUCUCUGGAAGAUGCCUUCAAAGUCAGGGCCUCUGAUCUAGCCCUGACACUCAUGGUACCAAAGAGUUCCCAAAAAACAAGAGAAAGCAAUGAAUCUCGCCUCUACCCUGUCACAUCUCUGAAACAAUUCUGUUUCUUUCUAUAGUGUCCUUCUGUAGAGGGACAUGAUGGGAACACAGGACUGAUUGUCAGAGACCAGAUGUUGGAAAAGAUUGAAGGCAAAAGGAGAAGAGGAUGGCAGGAGAUGACAAAAAUGGGAGAGUGUCAUGGAAGGAGCAAACAUGAGCUUGGACAGACUUUGGAAGAUAGCAGACAGAAGGGCCUGGUAUGCUAAGGUCUCUGGGGUCACAAAUCUUCAACAUUCAAAAUACCGGCACCCAUAAAGUGAAUCAGAAGCAGGACAAACAGACAUGGGAUACCAAGACAGGGAUACAUGAAGGAAGCAGGACUCAGAUGAGGAUGUAUACAAUGGACGGGAACAAAGAAGACCCAAAGACAAGGAAUAUCCCAGAACAAUGAGAAUCCAUGACAUCUGCCCACCACAAUCUGUCCGGCCAUUCUCAAGACCAUGUGGCUCUCCUUCCCCUGCUUUGCUACCACAAGGAUGGAUACAGAACUUCCCACAAGAAACACUGACAUCAUAUGGAGGAACCUGUUUUACCUUCUUCUACGAUGGCAGGGUCAACUCUACAAAUGUGCAUAGAAUAUAACAGGGCCAAAAAGGACGGAAGGAAAGGAAAGGAAAGAGGACAAAAAGGGAAGAGGAGGCAAAGGAAAUAAGCAUUUAUUAAGAACCUACUAUGUGUCAGGCACUGUGAUAAGCACUUUACUAAUAUUAUCUUAUUAGCUAUGAGAAAGACCGCCGGUAUGAGGGACAAAUGGAGGAGCUGAUGUAAAGAGUGAGAGUUGUAUGCAGAGAGAAAAUGGUAGAGAAGAAGAUCUACCUAGACAGAGAGAGAUGAAUUAAAGUAGAAACUUCAGCAUCAAGACACUAAUGGCAAUUGAAAUUUAAGAAUGGUUCAUAUGCAGGCUCUUCCUCAUGCUCUCUGCCAACAGAUCUGGACCCUCUUCCCCCUAAUCAUGUGCCACCACUAUGGAAAAGCUCAGAAAAGCUGCAAAAAAUCGAGGGGAGCCCAAGAAAAUGACUUCUCCCCUGAAGUCAAAAGGAGACCCUGAGGGUGGGACCACGUCAGAAGAUGAAGAAGAAACCAGAGCAAGAGAGUCUACAGUCCCUCAGAAGAAUAGGAAAACGCUGUGGCUACCCCAGCAAAGGUCCCAGUGGCCACAAAAGCCACCACUCCUUCAACGAAGUGCCUGGGACAUUUUCUAAGAAAGCCCUCCAGCCAAAGCUGAUGUCAUCCUAGCAGAAGCAGGAGCCCCCCCAAGCCAUCUACCCGUGAGCAAAGGGGCCCCCAGGAAGUAAGUUAAGAAAGAAGAUGGUGACUCUGAAGAAGACAGUGAAUAUGAGAAGAAGAGAGAACCUGGGCCACCCAGAGCCAGAAAAGUGGGAGCAGCUCUAGCCAAAUACACUUCAAUGGUAGUUGUGGAGGAGGAGGAAGAAGAAAUGAAGGAGGAAGAGGAGGAGGAGGGUGGGGAAGAAGAAAUGAAGGAAGAAGAAAUGGCGAAAGAAGAAAUGGCGGCGGCGGAGGAGGAGGAGGGUGGGGAAGAAGAAAUGAAGGAAGAAGAAAUGGCGGCGGUGGAGGAGGAGGAGGGUGGGGAAGAAGAAAUGGCGGCGGCGGAGGAGGAGGAGGGUGGGGAAGAAGAAAUGGUGGCGGCGGUGGAGGAGGAGGGUGGGGAAGAAGAAAUGAAGGAAGAAGAAAUGGCGGCGGCGGAGGAGGAGGAGGGUGGGGAAGAAGAAAUGGCGGCGGCGGAGGAGGAGGAGGGUGGGGAAGAAGAAAUGAAGGAAGAAGAAAUGGAGGAAGAGAAAGAGGAGGAGGAGGGUGGGGAAGAAAAAAUGAAGGAGGAGGAACAAAUGGAGGAUGAAGAAGGUCGGGGAGAAGAAAUGGAGGAAGAGAAAGAGGAGGAGGAGGGUGAGGAAGAAAAAAUGAAGAAGGAAAAAGUGGAGGAGGAGGAGGAAGAAGAGAGAAUAAAUGGAGGAGGGUGGGGAAGAAGAAAUGAAGGAAGAAGAAAUGGAGGAAGAGAAGGAGGGAAAGAAGAAAUGGAAGAGGAGGAAGAAAUGGAAAAGGAAGAGGAGGAAGAGAAAAUAAUGGAAAAGGAAGAGGAGGAGGAGAAAAAAUGGAAAAGGAAGAAGAGGAGGAGAAAGAAGAAGAAGAGAAGGAAGAAGAAGAGGAAAAGGAAUAGGAGGGUGGGGAAGAAGAAAUGAAGGAGGAAGAAAUGGAGGAUGAGGAGGAGGAUGGUGAAGAAGAAGAAAUGGAAGAAGAGGAAGAAAUGGAGGAGGAAGAGGAGGAGGAGGGUGGGGAAGAAAAAAUGAAGGAAGAUGAAAUGGAGGAGGAAGAAGAAGAAAUGGAGGAAGAGGAGGAAGAAAUGAAGGAGGAGGAGUUGGAGGAUGGGAAGGAAGAAAUGGAGGAGGAAGAAGAAGAAUUAAAAAAAGAAGAAGAGGAGGAAGAAGAUGAAGAGGAAGAGAGGAGGAAGAAGAGGAAGAAGAAGAACAAGAAGAGGAGGAGCAGGAGGAAGAAUAAGAAGAGGAGGAAGAAGAAAAAAAGAAGAGGAAAAAGAGGAGAGGAGAAGGAAGAAUAUUAUGAAGAGGAGAAAAUGCAUGUCAAAGAAGCACCAGGAACAACGAAAAAGGAAAUGGGCAAGCAGAAAGCUCUCCAAAUCAAGAGUGGAAGACAUUUAAAGAAGUGUCUACAAACUUCAAUCUCUCUGCUGGUAACCUGAACUCGAAGUUGAACUCUUCAGAACUCAAACUGGCAUCGUGGAUGGCUUCCCCAAAAAGCCCUCACCAUCGUGGAUGUCAACAUCGAUGACACCAAGAAAUGUGGCUACGUGGAACUCAGAGCCACUGAAGACACAGAAAGGCUCCAGAGCUUAGUGGUUCACAGCUUGGCUGUGAAAGGAAGCUGGAAAAAAGCAAAAGCCAGCAGGAAAAUUGAGAUGGGAGGAUGCUCUUCGCUAGGGAAGGAAGUCCAGGAAGUGUGGGAAGAUGCUACUGGUAUCACAAUGAUGUGUGCCAAGGAUGGGACACCCAGCAAAAUUGCCUGUUUUAGAUGGAAGCAGAUGUGGACAAGAUCUUGGAAGAGAAACAAGGAAUCACUAUUGAUAGUAAAGUGCUCAUUCUAGACUACACAGUGAAGAAAAAUAAAGGACAAGAGAACAAAAGAAGUGGGGAGAAGGAUCCCUGAAAUUUGAAGAAAAGCAAGCUGGGAGCUUCAGAGACACUGGUGCCGGAUAAUAUGGCCGAGAGCUGGUGAGGAGAGUUCAAGUGUGUGAGAAGGCAAUGUUCAGCCUUCCCCAGAAUAUCCAAGGCUGACCAAAAGGGGACCCGUUUGCUGAAUUGACCUCUGUGGAAGAUGCAAAAGAAUCUCUGAAUUCUUGUAAUAACACACAAACUGAUGGCACAGCCAUCCAGUGGGAGCUCAAAGACUAGAAGUCAGCACCAAGGACAGAGUUCUACAAAGUUCUUCAAAGGUCUAGAUGAAGACAUAAAAGAAGAAACAAUGCAAGAUUAAUUUCACCCUGUGGGUGCCAGGAUAGUCACAAGGAGGGGGACAGGAUCAGCCACAAUGUACAGUUUGUGACCUUUUACUCAAAAGGAAAAGGUAAAGCUGCAAAAAGAGUCCAUGGAGGACAGGGAGGCUGAUGGAAACAAAGAAAGUAGGCUGAGGAUGGUGGCUUUGGAGGCCAAAGGGGCCAUUAUAGUGGUGGAGGUACGCAGACUUUGCUGGCCUAGGAUGUAGUAGGAGAGACCAAGUUGGCAGUGGUGGCAGAGGCUGGGAAAACUUAGGAGCUUGGGGUGAUAUCCUGGAAGGAUGAGGAGAAAAGGAGAAAACAAGGUGCAAGGAAAGAAGACAGAGUCUCCUUUUCCCUACCAUUGGACAGGACUCUAAUCACCAACUGAGCCUUCUGAGUAUUUAUCAAGAAAAACAGGAAGUCCAGAUUGACUCUUGGCAAAACCCAAUUUGACAUUUCAAAAGAGAGAGCGUCAGGAUUGGACAUGGGAAUGUUUUGCAGAGAUGGGUGACAAAUAAUGGAGUGAGUUUUUUUGUCCCCGAGUUCUCAACUUUAUGUCAUACACCAUGUGCAAAAACAUUUUUUCUGACAAAUAUUUGUGGAGGCUUUUUCUUUCAUUUUUCAGCUGUAAAAGAAAAAGUGAAAUAUUUUUCAUGGUUCCUACAUCAUCAGCCUGUCAUUUAGACACAUUAACUAACCUGGAAAACUAAAUCUGUGGAGGUGGAGAAUAAUACAGGUUCAGAUCAAAAAGGCAUAUAAUGAACUUUAUAUGAAUUACAUAUAAUAGAUGAGAGGCUGAAGAGAAAGUUCGAGGCAGGGAGUGGAUGGAGAAAGCCAGAGAUGGUGAAGGUGAGCAUGGGAGACACACAGGCCCCAAGGACAGGAGGGAAAGGAGAGAUGCAAACUCUGAGACUUGAAAUGGCAGUCAAACAUCAAUGGGGGAAAGGUUGAAUGGAAAGACACAGCCACUGGAAAAUGAUUGAAUUCAGGAGCAGCAAGGAAAUAAAGAAUGACUAGUGAGAGAGGAACAAAUAUUCUUAUCGCCUCUUUCAUAGAAGGAAAAAUGGAUGCAAAUUGUAUGUGUAUAAAUAUAGACAUUUCAGCAGCGGAGGACAGAGGAACAAAGAUGGUAGAUAAAAGGGAGGGAUUUUCUUGAUUUCUCCCAAAUUCACAUCCAAACUAUAUUAAAAUAACAUCUCAGAAUGAAUUCUGGAGUGGCAGAGCAGACAAAAGAAUGGGGUGAGAGGACUGUUCAACACAGAGUUUAAUUGGGGAGUGCAGCAGAGGCUGUGACCGUGACAAGAAGCAAACAAUAGGCUCCUGGAAUGAUGGACUCACCAGUGGCGCUUUCUGGAGUUUUCAGCCCAUACAAAAGGGGCUUUAGACAACCAGUCAGAUAGAGACUGCAGGGGACCCUUUGCUGGAAUGGGGAUUAGGAAUCUGUUGGCAUGCACAGUUCUAGGUCACAGGGACAGGAGUCUGGUUACAAUUACAAGGCAAAAACCAGUGCUGACCAUCACUCAUGUUGCAGGAGAUUAGUGACCAGACAUAUUCUUGGAUGAUUUCAUCUUCUAAGAAGUGAAAGUUUAGAGAUACCUGGAACUAUGUAGAGAAAAACAGCAUGAGACCUGAAGUUUGGAAUAGUAUGUCUUGAAGUCAAGGAGGAGAAUUGAACUAUAUGUGAAGUUGAAGCCAACAAAUAAGCCUGAAAAGCAGCAAAAGAGGAAACUAGCCAGAAAGCUGGAUGAGUGUAAAAAGGGGGUAUGAGUGAUGGAUGGAAAGAGAAGCCAAGACAGUUAGAGGGAUAUGGAAAAGUAGCUUCACCUGGAGAAAGGUUGGCAACUGUAGAUAUUGAGAUAGUGAGGUAUGUUGGAAAGCAUGAGAGUUGAAGGAGAGAUAGGUGAAAAAACAGAGAUAGCCAUGUUUAUAAGAAAGUUGAGAUGGUGAGGAUUAGAUAAGGAAUAUUGGGAAAAAAGCGGUCUCGGAGAGGGAGUAGAAUCCAUUUAGGAAGAAUGUUUCUCUGCUAAGGAAAAAAACCCCUGAGUGAGAGAAGAGUCCCAACAGACUAAAUGAAAAAAGUGGCAUAUAUAUGUAUACAGAAAAUGGAGGCUGAAUGGCUAUACAAAGGGUCAAAGGUGAUUGAAUGAAGAGAAGUAGAGAGAGAAGAGUGGAGUGAGAAAAUGAGAGGGUGAGAAUGGCAGGAUGAAAGGACAGACUGACCCAAACUCUGAUAUAUGAAUGAUUGUCAAAAUAUGCAAGAAAUGUGUGAAUUUGUGUGAAAUACAUGGUUUAACACAGCUGACCUGAGAACAAGGAUGAAAAGGAAAACCAGGGACACAGCCAAAGAGAAAGAGUUGGCUAAGAGGCCCAAGAGAAGUAGAAGGGAAUCCCAUUUGAGACCCAGACUUUGGGAAAUGGAUGAAUUUAGACACGAGUGCUAUAAAAGGGUAAAGAAAUAAAAGAAACAGAGAACCAUGAAUGUCUAGAAACCAAAGACAGAAAAUAAAGGGAAGAGAGACCUAGGCAGUGACAGGCAUUUGAAUGGAGACCAUGAGAAAUGAGGGACGGAUGAAGACAAAAAAAGAAUGAGCAAUCUAGGGAAAGAGAGCAAGCCAGUGAGAAAUGUAUGUAUGGAAAGAGAGAAAGA